rnacentral:rRNA from 1 species
GACGAACGCUGGCGGCGUGCCUAAUACAUGCAAGUAGAACGCUGAAGGAGGAGCUUGCUUCUCCGGAUGAGUUGCGAACGGGUGAGUAACGCGUAGGUAACCUGCCUGGUAGCGGGGGAUAACUAUUGGAAACGAUAGCUAAUACCGCACAACAGUAGAUAUCGCAUGAUAUCUGCUUGAAAGGUGCAAUUGCAUCACUACCAGAUGGACCUGCGUUGUAUUAGCUAGUUGGUGAGGUAACGGCUCACCAAGGCGACGAUACAUAGCCGACCUGAGAGGGUGAUCGGCCACACUGGGACUGAGACACGGCCCAGACUCCUACGGGAGGCAGCAGGAGGGAAUCUUCGGCAAUGGACGGAAGUCUGACCGAGCAACGCCGCGUGAGUGAAGAAGGUUUUCGGAUCGUAAAGCUCUGUUGUAAGAGAAGAACGAGUGUGAGAGUGGAAAGUUCACACUGUGACGGUAUCUUACCAGAAAGGGACGGCUAACUACGUG